rnacentral:rRNA from 1 species
AGAGUUUGAUCCUGGCUCAGGAUGAACGCUGGGCGGCGUGCCUAACACAUGCAAGUCGAGCGGUAUAUACUUAAGCAAAUCUUCGGAAGAGCGAGAGUAUAGAGAGCGGCGGACGGGUGAGUAACGCGUAGGCAACCUGCCCCAUACAGAGGGAUAGCCUCGGGAAACCGGGAUUAAAACCUCAUAACGCGAGAAGUUCACAUGGACUUUUCGCCAAAGAUUUAUCGGUAUGGGAUGGGCCUGCGUCUGAUUAGCUAGUUGGUGGGGUAACGGCCUACCAAGGCAACGAUCAGUAGCCGACCUGAGAGGGUAAUCGGCCACAUUGGAACUGAGACACGGUCCAAACUCCUACGGGAGGCAGCAGUGGGGAAUAUUGCACAAUGGGCGAAAGCCUGAUGCAGCAACGCCGCGUGAGCGAUGAAGGCCUUUGGGUCGUAAAGCUCUGUCCUUGGGGAAGAAAAAAAUGACGGUACCCUUGGAGGAAGCCCCGGCUAACUACGUGCCAGCAGCCGCGGUAAUACGUAGGGGGCAAGCGUUAUCCGGAAUUAUUGGGCGUAAAGAGUGCGUAGGUGGUUUUGUAAGCGCGGGGUGAAAGGCAAUGGCUCAACUAUUGUAAGCCCUGCGAACUGUGAGACUUGAGUGCAGGAGAGGAAAGCGGAAUUCCUAGUGUAGCGGUGAAAUGCGUAGAUAUUAGGAGGAACACCAGUGGCGAAGGCGGCUUUCUGGACUGUAACUGACACUGAGGCACGAAAGCGUGGGGAGCAAACAGGAUUAGAUACCCUGGUAGUCCACGCCGUAAACGAUGAGCACUAGGUGUCGGGGCCGCAAGGCUUCGGUGCCGCAGUUAACGCAUUAAGUGCUCCGCCUGGGGAGUACGCACGCAAGUGUGAAACUCAAAUGAAUUGACGG